UAUCAUAUGAAGAUAAUGAAGAAAAUAUUAUUUCUUUAUAUAGGGAAAAGAAUCCUAAUGAUCCCUUUCAUUUUUUUAGAUUUAGAAUGACAAAAAAUAUGAUUGAUUUUAUAAUUCAAUUUGGUCCACUACAACCAAGUUCCAAUGAAUUUAUUUAUCCAAAAACUCAUAACAGGAGCAUGAAAGAUGCCUAUUAUAAAAAAAUAAAUUAUGACAAAUCAUUUUCUCAAAGAAAAUGGCUAUCAUAUAGCUCUAUUUUGGAUAAAGUAUUCUGUAUCUUCUGUAUUAUGUUUGGAAGUCAUCAAGCAAGCAUGCAAUGGACUCAUAAAGGUGCAGAUAGCUGGAAUAAUUUAGUCCGGGAUAUGGAGAGACAUGAAACAUCCCCUGUUCAUGCAGAUUGUGAAUAUGCACAUAUGGCAUGGAUUUCUCGGGGGCGUAUUGAUGACCACAUUUUAUUCAACCGAGAGGAAAUUAUAACCCAAAAUCGUUAUAAUAUCCAUAAUAUAAUUGAUGCUAUUGUGUAUUUAAUACGGGGCAAUAUUGCUUUUUGGGGAAGCAAUUCUCAUGAUGGCAUUACAUCUUCCACUAGAAUACCUGAUUGGGCAAAGUAUGGAUGGUGCUAGUAAUAUGAGAGGUGUUAAUAAGGGAGUACAGGCUUUAAUAUUUAAAGAAGCUCCUAAAGCUAUUUAUGUCUGGUGCCAUGCUCAUAGGCUUAAUUUAAUUGUUAUUCGUAUAUGUGGAUAUGGGAAUGAAAUUAAAAAAACUAUGGGAAUUUUAGAUGAAUUAUAUAAUUUUAUGAAUGGAGUUAAACGCCAGGGUGUUUUUACCAAAUUUCAAAUGCAAAAAACCAAAA